rnacentral:tRNA from 1 species
AUCAGUAAAGCUUACGAAUAGUGACAUUUUGAAAAAAUGUAGAUAAUUAAUUUAUUAAUUUAUUGAUG